UCUCAGUCGUUAAUGUGGUCUCGAGCUUCUUGGUGUGUCAGCAUAACUUUGAAUACUAACUUUUGUUUGUUUUAAUCUGGUGCAGGUCUGUCAUUGAAGUUCGUAAUGGCCUGACUUUCCUUGACCUUAUAGUUAAGCAAAUUGAGAGCCUUAACAGCAAGUAUGGAUCCAAAGUGCCUUUGGUUCUGAUGAACUCAUUCAACACAUAUGAUGAUACACUUAAGGUAAAGUACCCUUUUUUUUAUGUUCCGUGCUGUUAGUCUUUUAUCUUGUGGAGCAUCUUUUCAAGACUUCAAACUCAUUGCAUACAGAUUGUUGAAAAAUACACCAAUUCAAAUGAUGAGAUUCACACAUUUAAUCAGAGUCAAUACCCUCGGCUGGUUGUUGAAGAUUUCUCGACAUUUCCAUGCAAAGGUCAAUCCGACAAGGAUGGAUGGUAUUAUUUUACGCUGAUAUUGGCCUCAAUUAUUUGCAUGUUGUGUUUGUUGAAUGUAGAUGCUUAUAAUCUAUCUCAUCUCAUAUAUGUUCUGUAUUUGGUAUAAAAUUUGAUCUGAUGGAAUAAAUAUGUACUUUCUUUUGUUGAAUUAAAUGUUUGAUUUUGGGAGGUGGGUUUUAGAAAUUAAGAGCAAAUAUUGCCUGGUUUUUUUAAUUUUGGUUGAUAUGCUUCUAUUUGUGGGUUAUGACUUUUGACUGUGAAAUUGAGUUGAUUGUGAAAAAUUCAUGUCUAACUGAGUAACUGCAUCUAUAGCUAAUUCUUUCACUUAUAUAUUUGAGGGAAUUUUUUUCUUCAAAAAAAAAAAAUCUAAGGAAUUUUUAAUUUUUUGUAUAUUUUUAGUAUGUUAGUCAGAGUAGGAGAGAAAUGGGGAGAGGAGAGAAAACCGGUAUGGGGCUCACCAUUGUUAAAUAGCUAAAUGAAAAAAUCAUGAACCAAUAACGAUGUGAUUUGAGUUUAGGAUGUAUUAAAAGUCUAAAUUAUUGAUUUAAUCCCUAAACGAUGGUGAUUUUUCUUGGAAAGUGGAAGUUUUGCUUGUUAUGUUAGGGUGAUCAUAUUAAGCUAGUGGUACAUUUGGUAGUAUUUUAGAAUCAAGAGUAUUAUUGUGUUGAACUAUAGAUUAUGCUUAGUAACUCGAUUUUAGUUUAAGAUGUACA